UCAGUCGACUCCUACGGGAGGCAGCAGUGGGGAAUAUUGGACAAUGGGGGCAACCCUGAUCCAGCCAUGCCGCGUGAGUGAAGAAGGCCCUAGGGUCGUAAAGCUCUUUCAACUGUGAAGAUAAUGACGGUAGCAGUAGAACGAAACCCCGGCUAACUCCGUGCCAGCAGCCGCGGUAAUACGGAGGGGUUAGCGUUGUUCGGAAUUACUGGGCGUAAAGCGCACGUAGGCGGACUAUUAAGUUAGAGGUGAAAUCCCAGGGCUCAACCCUGGAACUGCCUUUAAUACUGGUAGUCUUGAGUUCGAGAGAGGUGAGUGGAAUUCCGAGUGUAGAGGUGAAAUUCGUAGAUAUUCGGAGGAACACCAGUGGCGAAGGCGGCUCACUGGCUCGAUACUGACGCUGAGGUGCGAAAGUGUGGGGAGCAAACAGGAUUAGAUACCCUGGUAG
rnacentral:rRNA from 1 species